rnacentral:rRNA from 1 species
GACGAACGCUGGCGGCGUGCUUAACACAUGCAAGUCGAACGGAAAGGCCCUGCUUUUGUGGGGUGCUCGAGUGGCGAACGGGUGAGUAACACGUGAGUAACCUGCCCUUGACUUUGGGAUGACUUCAGGAAACUGGGGCUAAUACCGGAUAGGAGCUCCUGCUGCAUGGUGGGGGUUGGAAAGUUUCGGCGGUUGGGGAUGGACUCGCGGCUUAUCAGCUUGUUGGUGGGGUAGUGGCUUACCAAGGCUUUGACGGGUAGCCGGCCGGAAGGGGUGACCGGCCACAUUGGGACUGAGAUACGGCCCAGACUCCUACGGGAGGCAGCAGUGGGGAAUAUUGCACAAUGGGCGGAAGCCUGAUGCAGCAACGCCGCGUGCGGGAUGACGGCCUUCGGGUUGUAAACCGCUUUCGCCUGUGACGAAGCGUGAGUGACGGUAAUGGGUAAAGAAGCACCGGCUAACUACGUGCCAGCCGCCGCGGUAAGAC